rnacentral:rRNA from 1 species
GAUAAACGCUGGCGGCGUGCCUAAUGCAUGCAAGUCGAACGGGCGCUUUUCGGAGCGUGACCGUGGCGGACGGGUGAGGAGCACGUAGCUAACCUGCCCUGGUGUGGGGGAUAUCCUUCG